AAUGCAAUUGCUGGGUCACAUGGUAAUUGCAUGUUUAAUUUUAUGAGAAGCUACAAAACUAUUUUACAGAGUAGCUGUACCAUUUUACAUUCCUAUCAGCAAU
rnacentral:pre_miRNA from 1 species